rnacentral:rRNA from 1 species
CGGGAGUAAUGUCUGGGAAACGGCCUGAUGGAGGGGGGUAACUACUGGAAACGGUAGCUAAUACCGCAUAACGUCGCAAGACCAAAGUGGGGGACCGUUCGGGCCUCAUGCCAUCAGAUGUGCCCAGAUGGGAUUAGCUAGUAGGUGGGGUAACGGCUCACCUAGGCGACGAUCCCUAGCUGGUCUGAGAGGAUGACCAGCCACACUGGAACUGAGACACGGUCCAG